GUGAGGUGGAGCAAAACUCAAAAACUUGUCUCAGUUCGGAUUGUAGGCUGAAACUCGCCUACAUGAAGCUGGAGUUGCUAGUAAUCGCGAAUCAGCAUGUCGCGGUGAAUACGUCCCCGGGCCUUGUACACACCGCCCGUCACACCAUGAGAGUUGGCAAUACCCAACGUACGUGAUCUAACCCGCAAGGGAGGAAGCGUCCUAAGGUAGGGUCAGCGAUUGGGGUGAAGUCGUAACAAGGUAGC
rnacentral:rRNA from 1 species